UAGACCAGCCAUGAAUCUCAUGGGAGUAAACAUGUGACCAUUGCCUCCUCUCACAUUCUUAGUGCCCUCUGCAUAUAAUAGACUGGAGCCAUCCCAAAAUGGUGAUGGCAUUUCAAGAAAAUUCCUAGAGAUUUAAUGGUUUUCAUGAGAAGAAUCCAUCAUAAUGCUCCUAAGGGAUAAUUGCUCACAUAGAUCACUAAAUUUUACUACAUGUCACGACCCUGAAGGAACCUUUCAUUUAACCUCUUGUGCUCCAGGCAGCUGUAGUUGUAUAACAUCUACCACUAAAUUGCUUAAUGUGUUCCUGUCCGGUGAAUUAUUUGCAGGUCCUCUCACAUUUGCGGCUGCUCCUGUUUUUUCAACAAGGUACAAACCCUGUGCUUCCAUCUGGUACUAAUUGUACAACUAUUGGUGUCACUGCGAAUAAUGGAAGCUGGAAUGGAGUGUUUCCAGAGCUGAUUCCCAGCAGAGCCCUUGAGGGAAAGAUGCAGCAAGUCUGCCUUGGAAGAAUGAUGAGAUGUGAGCGCAGGGAAGAGAGACGCAGAGCAGGGACCAACAAUGACAUCAAGACCUGAAAAGAGGUUGAAAACAUAAAAGUUCCUCAGAGUUUGGGUGGAGAAAGCAGGUUCCUGUCAGAAAUGACUACACCAAAGAGUCUUCUGGGA